rnacentral:lncRNA from 1 species
UUAAUAUUAUGAGAGAUGUAUUGUCUGUUCUCAAAAACGAGAGAGAAGAAACAGAAAGCAAUAGUCUCCUUAGACCGGGACCGUCAGGCUUCUUUGUUUCUGGAUCGAGCAAGCUCGAUGGUCACCGGUUUAUAUAGUUUCUUUUGUUUCUAUUUUCAUGCUGCUUUUGCCUUGUUUUAUUUUGGUUUUCGAUUGGAAGUUGGGGCGGUGUUUGGCUGUCAAUGAUCAGGAUGAAGGCUGAUGAUCUCUUCAGCACUGGGGCGCGAAAGGCUCCAUUAGACUACUCCAUAGUUAUCUGAGACUCAAAAUGUCAUAGACCGGUUUUUUGUCUGGCUGUUAGUAGUGAUGGCUCCUAAAAUCUACAGCGGUGGUUGUUGUUGGCCUUUUCGUCUGGUUUGGAGUGCAACGUUGGUCCUGAUGGUGUUCCUUCCUCAUUUAUCCUUGCGUGAUGUUAUGUUUUGCUUUUUCUGUUUGCAUGUAAGGCAGUCGUGACUGCUGUUGCCAUUUUUCGCUAGCGUCAUGCUCGAUGAUGUUUGUUGCAUCUGGUCUUCGAUGUUGUUGGAGAUAAUUGCAGUGGCACUGUUCUCAGGAGGUGAGCGACUGGCUUCGGCUUUUUUUCGAUUAUGGGUUGGGCUUCUGCUUUUGAUGGGUCAUUAGUUAUGGGCUUCUAUUUUGAACCAUCUAUGACUUUCUGUUGUGCUGAGUUUAAUGAGCCUUUAAAUGCAACCUUUUGCAUGGUUUAAAAAAAAAAACUUAAUAUAUAAUUAUUAAAUAAUUAUAAUAUUAAUUGCAUUAAGUUGAUAAUAUAUAA